rnacentral:rRNA from 1 species
UACGUAGGGGGGCAAGCGUUGUCCGGAAUCAUUGGGCGUAAAGAGCGUGUAGGCGGCCAGAUAAGUCCGCUGUGAAAUCUCGAGGCUCAACUUCGAGCUGUCGGUGGAAACUGUCUGGCUAGAGUCCGGAAGAGGAGAAUGGAAUUCCUGGUGUAGCGGUGAAAUGCGCAGAUAUCGGGAAGAACACCCGUGGCGAAGGCGGUUCUCUGGGACGGUACUGACGCUGAGACGCGAAAGCGUGGGGAGCGAACAGG